rnacentral:lncRNA from 1 species
AAAAAACCUACUGCAAAUUAUGGCAGAAAUUAAAAUAAUACUAUUGAGUUAUAAAAAGAAUCAUAUUAUAUCUAUGUAUAACUAAAAAUAAAUAAUGUUAUUUACACAUUUACAAAAAAUAUAAAAAAUUUAAAUACAAGAUAAUCAAAUAUUUUUCAAUUCUAUUAAAUAUAUGAUUCUUUUUUAUUGUAAUUGUUUGAAUUUAAAAAAAUUAAAGUCAAU